GGUGGAGUUUGCGUUUUUGCCGCUGUUUCGCCACCUUUUUCUCCUUCUGGGCUGUCAGAUUUCGAAGGGGACCUGGAGGGAGAACGCUUGAAGAACUUGUUAGUCCACAGCUGCCUCUCUGUCGAGGGCGGUGGGUUUGAUUAAAGGGGAGCGCCCCCCUGGAUUUCUCAGGUCACAUCAAUCACGCUGAUCAGCCCCCGAAAGGCAACAUAUUGUCUGGGACUCCGCCAAGGAGGGAUAUCAAUUUCACAAUUGCACUUAUGUCUUUCAGCCAAGAACCAGUUUAUUUUUGGCUACUGAAGUCUGAGACUCACUUUGGAGCCACAUUUACCCGUUCACGCUUUAUGCCAGGCUCUGAGCGAUAACUUUCUCUUGAGUCACAUAGAGGCAUCUUUACAUAGCAAGUAAGCUCUAUGACACGUUCCUUCCCCGAGAGCCUUGUGUUAUAUUUUGACAGAGUUUGGAGAUUUUUUUUUUUCUUUUCUAUGAUUAAUUCUUACUUCUACAGAGAGAGAUUUCCUGAUGGAGGUGUCUCCUUUCAAACAAAGCUCUGGGAAAAUAGAACCAUCAGAACUGGUAUUAUUCUAAAAAAAAAAAAAAAAGUUAAAGAGAAACAACAGGAAUGCUUGACUCUUCAGUAUCUGCUGAGACUGGGUUGGUAGUAAUAAUAAUAUCAAUAACAAUAUGGGAAAGUUAACACUAAUGACUGCCUUGAUUUUUGCUCAGGUACACUCUUAAUGCUUUUUGAAUAUUGUACUUUGCAAGUUGUGGAGAAUCAUGUAUAUGUCAUACCUUAGGACGGCGUCAAAAUUAGACAUAGUUUGUUCAUGUAAAAUCCUGACCUGUGAUUCCUUUGUAUUGUCUCUUUGCUUUAAAAUAUAUACUCUUCUUAAUCCACAUAUUGUGAUUGCUUUCCUAUUUGCCAGUUUUUAAUCCUGUACUCUUUUUGUCUGGAAUUCUGGCUCAUUUAAGGAAUAAAAUGUUUACCAGGAGAUGUGUUACAAUGAAAAUGAAAUUAAUCAUUGAAACAAAUAUUUGCUGAGGGAAAAAAAGGUAAAAGCGUACCUCUUAGAACUUCAUAAGUACAAAUACACCUUCCAAUGAAUGUAAACAUCUUGCAACACAUUUCAGGUUAAUAAAUUAGAGCAGAUAAUGAAAGUGUAUUGUCUAGCCACUUUUGCUUGGGGAAGUACACAGUGAGUUACAGAAUUAAGUUUACUGACUUUUAACAACAAGGUCCUAGUUGGUUUUGAUAUUCAAGAAUUUAGAAAAUGACAUAAAAAUCCAGAAGCUUUAUACUGUUAAAUCUCUUUUUCAGAAUAGCAUCCCUGUAGCUUUAAUGCUUAGUGACUAUAGCUUCUGCAAAACUUCUUUAAUAAUCAAUGAUUAAAUACUUCCUGUGACAUUAUUUGUGAGUUACAUUUAUUCAGUUGACAUAAACCUAUUACUGUCAGCUACGUUUCUUUUAGUUCUAAAUAUUCUGCCACAGAUUUUUAGUACCAGUUUCAAACACUAAUAUAUUCUUUUAAUAAUUAAAUAAAGUAGGUUUCAAGGAGAGAUAUGUUUAGGAAAAACUGCUUGAUCAUGCUAUUUUCUUUUGAAUCAUCAGAAGUAGGUGAUGCUUUUUUUUUUUUUCAAUUAUUUUCUCAGAUAGCAAACCAUAAAAAGACAUCAUCAUGAUGCGUUCCUGAAAAUUAACUCAAGAUCUCCGGCUUUCCUGUUAGUGUGAUUAUAUUACAGGCAUUUGGAGCUAUAAUAAGUGCUGAAACCUUAUUGUGUUUAAAUGAGGUAAGAUAUGUUAACUACCUUCUGCAAUAACUAUCUUUGA
rnacentral:lncRNA from 1 species